rnacentral:tRNA from 1 species
GCUUCAGUGGCGCAAUCGGUCAGCGCGCGGUACUUAUAAUGCCGAGGUUGUGAGUUCAAACCUCACCUGGAGCA